CCUACGGGGGGCAGCAGUGAGGAAUAUUGGUCAAUGGACGAGAGUCUGAACCAGCCAAGUAGCGUGAAGGAUGACUGCCCUAUGGGUUGUAAACUUCUUUUAUAAAGGAAUAAAACGAGGCACGUGUGCCUUUUUGCAUGUACUUUAUGAAUAAGGAUCGGCUAACUCCGUGCCAGCAGCCGCGGUAAUACGGAGGAUCCGAGCGUUAUCCGGAUUUAUUGGGUUUAAAGGGAGCGUAGAUGGGUUGUUAAGUCAGUUGUAAAAGUUUGCGGCUCAACCGUAAAAUUGCAAUUUAUACUGGCAGUCUUGGGUACAGUUGAGGUAGGCGGAAUUCGUGGUGUAGCGGUGAAAUGCUUAGAUAUCACGAAGAACACCGAUUGCGAAGGCAGCUUACUAAACUGUGACUGACAUUGAUGCUCGAAAGUGUGGGUAUCAAACAGGAUUAGAUACCCAGUAGUC
rnacentral:rRNA from 1 species